rnacentral:lncRNA from 1 species
AACAUGAAAUAGAUUCAGACUUACAGUAGGGCUAUGUUGAGGACCCUGCCAAUGGGGGCUAAUAUAUGACCCUGUCAUAGGGAACAUAUGGUCAUAGUUCCUGGCUGUUGAGUUGAGUCUAAUAAAUUAAAAAAAAUGAAGAUAUGAACGAUAUUUGGUUUUGACACUGCAUGUUUUCAUAAAUGAAAAAUGAAAUAGAGAACUAAUUGAACUUCGACCUAGUUAUGUUGAGGACUCCGCCAAUGGAGGUAGAUACAUUGGCAAUUGACCGUCCUGAAGGACUCACCGCAAGAAGAUUAGUCGAUGUUUAUAAUCCUGCAACAGGGAACAUAUGGUCAUAGUCCAAGAUUGACAAGAUGAAUUGAAUAUGUGAAAGAAUCUCGAAACCAAGGUCCGUCGUACCGGUCCGGAUCGGCGUACCGGUGGCGGUCCGGACCGGCGUACCGGUGGCGGUCCGGACC